rnacentral:rRNA from 1 species
AUUGAACGCUGGCGGCAGGCCUAACACAUGCAAGUCGAACGAGUGGCGGACGGGUGAGUAAUGUCUGGGAAACUGCCCGAUGGAGGGGGAUAACUACUGGAAACGGUAGCUAAUACCGCAUACCAUUGGAUGUGCCCAGAUGGGUUUAGCUAGUGGGUGGGGUAACGGCUAACCUAGGCGACGAUCCCUAGCUGGUCUGAGAGGAUGACCAGCCACAUUGGAACUGCGAACCGGUCCAGACUCCUACGGGAGGCAGCAGUGGGGAAUAUUGCACAAUGGGCGCAAGCCUGAUGCAGCCAUGCCGCGUGUAUGAAGCAGGCCUUCGGGUUUUAAAGUACUUUCAGCGAGGAGGCGUUACUCGCAGAAGAAGCACCGGCUAACUCCGUGCCAGCAGCCGCGGUAAUAC